UGUGAUUGAUUCUAAGCCUUCGUAUGCAGA
rnacentral:piRNA from 1 species